CGUGAGUGAUGAAGGCUCGGUUGUAAACUACUUUCGUCGCACGACGAUAAUGACGGUAGUGCGAGAAGAAGCUCCGGCUAACUUCGUGC
rnacentral:rRNA from 1 species